GCGUUUGCUGUCACUUCCUCCCGCUUCUUCCAUCCAUUCGAAAAAAUAAUACAUAUAGAAAUAUCUCCGGAGAGAGAGGCGCUGCUAUUUCAAAUCGCCAUUUUCACAGAGAGAGAGAGAGAGAGAGAGAGGGCAGAUCUACGGUUUCGUUUUUCCAUUCUCAGAGAUUUCAUCAAUAUCAAGAGGUAUUUCUCCUCUUGCAAUAGAUAUGAGUCUUUUCUCAUCUCUAUGCUGCUCUUCCCACGUUUUAGGGUGUGGUUUUUUUUUCUUUUCUUCUUCUUUUAUGCCGUAUGCCGAGGAAGAUUAGGGUUUCUGCCCUUGGGAGACGUUUCAAUUUCGUUUUGGUAGGAAGCAUCUCUCUCUAUCUAUACAUCCGAGUGGAUAUGGCCAUGGAAAUGUCAGAUUUCUUCUCAGAUCUUACAUUUUCCUGCAAUUGAGGCAUGUUUAAAGCCAGAGACAGACGAAUACCAUGCUUUUCGACGAUUUUCCGUACGAGUAUGCUGCGGAAUUGUUAAUUUCAGGCUUUCUGAAGGUUAUUUUAGCAGAUUCCGUGAUUUUCAAGUUUUUAAUUUCUCAAUUUGUAACAGAUUCCGGGGUUCUUUCUGUUGUAAUUUGUGUAUUCUUAGGGCAGAUUCAUAGAAUAUGGGUUUUCUGUGGUGUUUUUGUUUUGAAUGAUAUGGCGGUUUCUAGGGUUCAUUGUGAGCUUCUGUGGGUUUUGAAGGGUUUUAAGUAUUCUUGUUAUUUGCAUAAUUGAGGGCAGAUUGGCACAAUUAGGGUUUUCUAAGAUUUCCUUUUUUUUUUUUCAAAAAAUUGUGGUUUCUGGGUUUUGUGUGGUGGAUGAGAAGGGUUUGUUGGAAUUUUGAACGAUUUCUGGGGUUAUUUCCGUCAAUAUAGUCUCCAUCGAGCGGUUUAUAUGAAAAAUUUGUGGAAUUAGGUUUAUCUAAUGGUUCCUUUGGCGGAAUUUGGUGCUUUGGGUUGAUAUGUUGUAGUGAAAAGGGGUUUCUGUUUGGGUUUCGGUCUUUCCUAUUUCCUGAGGUGAUUAGGAAAUUGAAUUAAGCAGUUUUGUAAGCUGCAGAUUUCUGGAACUAGGCCUUUUUAAGUUUUAUAUGGUUCACAGAAGGCUUUUCUCGCAAAAAGUAGGUUUCAAGAUUUAUAUUACUUGAAUGAUAGUUGAAGGACAUAUGUUGGAAAGGUUUUAAUGGCGGCAGGAAGUGAAUUGUUGUUGAGAAAGGCAGGCAGUUGCAGUCUGAAAGAAGAGAUGGCCAAGGUGACGCUCCGUGGUAUCCGGAAUCAGGGGCAUCCAUACGUCGAGCUAAGGGAAAAUGGGAAACGGUCCACCUUCUUUUGCAUGUUGUGUCUCUCCCCCUGUUACGGUGAAACCACGCUGCUCAAUCAUCUCAAAGGAAACCUUCAUGCUCAAAGGGAUGGAUUUGGACUGUGAAUUUAGCCCUCUCAAUAGAAGAAAAGUGAGGUCACCAUGAGUCAUUGGAAUUUAGAAUGUAUUUCAAGCAAGGGAUAGCUGAUGCAACAAAAAGAGCUUUGACUGAGUAGACCUGGUCACAUCAAGUUGUGUGAGUUUCAAGUUGAGCCACUUAGCUUUAAAAUUAUGGCAAAUGAAAAUUCAGUCUUUUAUAAAUGUUACCAACCAUAGUGUAGCACCUCUUCUUAUGUAUGUUGAACAUCUAAACCAUUCAUUAAGUAAGCCUCAUUGCGCAUACCAUAAUUCUAAAACUUGGUGGCUUGACUUAAAACUCACCCAAGUCAACUCGGCUAGAGAAGAUUUCGAGCCAAGACUCUUGGAAACUUGCUGACAAGCGUAACUCACCCAAGUCAACUCAGGAAUUUUACUUUGUUUUAAAGAUAAUGGAAUUUUUAACUAUGAUGGAUGAUUCCUUUGGAUGCUUCGUGUCGGGGGAGUUCCUGGUGUCCGCUGUGAGAAACAGGGAUCUUCAAGAAGCUAAGGCUCUCUUGGAAUAUAAUCCUUGCCUUGCAAGGUACUCAACUCUCGGCAUUCGUAAUUCUCCUCUCCAUUAUUCUGCAGCGCAGGGCCACUACGAGGUGAUUCAUUUAGUUUUUGUUUCCCAUUUGAUCCUGACUGGUUAUUAAAUUCAUGGGCCUUUGUAGAUUUUCUAAACUGAUUGUAUUGGCCUUUUCCUUUAGAUUGUUUCUCAAUUGGUUGAGGCUGGCGUUGAUGUUAAUCUUAGGAAUUAUCAUGGGAAGGUAAUAUCAAUCUUUUCUAUUUAUGCAAAUUAGACGAUUUUCUUCUGUUUUUUCAAUUUGUUCUUUUUUAGCAUUUACUACUUAGAAGUAACCCUUCAACAACAACCAAAAAGAAAAACGUAGAACUUGGAAGUAAAAAUAUUUUGGUAUCAAUUUAUACUUCAUUUUGAAUUGCCCAUCACCUACAUUUUCCAUUCAUCAAUCUGUAAUAAGAGGAUUGCUACUGUGACAAAAAAUUCAUGUCAAGUCUGUGCUAAUUGUCAGAAAAUAAAACGUGAUGCUAAUUCUGUGCAAGUCUAGCAAAGCAAGAUUUGAUUGGCAAAACAGAAUUCAUACUGAAUCAGUGGAAACGUUAUAAUUUAGGGACCAGCAAGACAGAUUCUAACAAGCAAACAGAGGAUCCAUCUUUCAUUUUUAUGUGGGCUGAAGGUUUUUAGAGAUAUCAACUCACCUGAGGAGUGGCAUGGACUGCAAAUCCAUUAACGAUGUGAUUUUGAAAGAAAGAUAAAUUAGUAGAUCCAAUUCCACUUUUAUGCAGGUGAGCUUAAUUCUGAUGUAUUCAUGGCUUUUCAAAUGACAUUCUCCAUUUAUUUAUUUUCUACUUUGAAAUGGUGUUUGUAUUUUGAUUAUUAUUGUCAUUAUUUUCUUAAAGCAAUUUCUUCAUGGGUGUUGAGUUUUUGUGAAGUGUAGAAUGCUUUUAUUGUGAAAUUAGAUGCAUAAACUGGAUCUUAAAGAGAAGAAGUUGUAUUGGAUUUUCUUUAAUUUUGCGGUUGAGGUAAGCCUUACUGUUUCUUGGAUUUUUAAACAGGGAUAUUUCUAACCUGGUACAGGACAUGAAUUUACUUCCUGUGCGUAGCUCAAGAAUGGGAUACCCUGCACAAUGAUCCGGUGAUCCUUGAAGUUCACUAUGUUAUAAAGAUGCAACGGUCAUAAUACUGAGGUCAUGGUUUUUUCCUCAUUGCACUAUGUUAUAAUAUCUGUACUUUUUCGUUCUUUGAGAGAAUUUUGAGUGGAAAUGGAAUCACUAUGGGCCCCCUGGAACUCCAUUACUUCUGCACUAGUCUUAAGUGAUAGUGGCCAUACAUCCAUGUGUUCUUUUAGCUGUGGUUUGAGCAUGUUAGGCCAGCAGUUGUAUCUUGGAACAUAAGGCUCCAAUUUAUCUAGCUCCAGAUAAUGGUGACAUGCUUGUGAGGUAAAAUAGAUCAUUUUAAAUUCUAUAAAACAUGGCUAUAUGGUGACUGCGAGUUGAUAAGGCUUGGACUCUGAUUUCUCCUUUCUUUUCCAUAGUAAUGAUUUUUUUUAAAUUUUUUUUUUUUGGAGUUCUUCUUCUUUGUUUCUGCAAUGGUAUGCUGAUUUCUCUUAAGUCGACAUCCUGAUGAUUUAAGUGUUUGGAACUGAGGCUGGUGUUUUCUAUCGGGUUCUCAUCAUGUUUAGGAAUUGGGCUCCUUGAGCUGGUCGUGUUGGGGGUCUUACUAUACAGGGGACGGUUUUUGUAGAGCUAUUGUUUCUUUUAGUUCCUUUUCGUUCUCUUUUGUUGUAUUUUCUUUUCUUUUGGUAGUCUGUUCUCUCUCUCUCUCUCUCUCUCUCUCUCUCUCUCUCUCUCUUGUUUUGUUCAGGCUGGUGCUAAACAUAUUUAUGCAGUGGAGGCAUCUGAAAUGGCAGAAUAUGCACGCAGGCUUAUUGCUGGGAAUCCAUCAUUGAGAGAAUGGAUUACGGUGAUCAAAGGUAAAGUUGAGGAUGUUGAAUUGCCUGAGAAAGCAAGCAUUCUGAUUUCUGGGGCGAUAUGAUUCAGAAGGGUGUUGCAGGAAGCACAGAUCCAUUGCCAAAAUAUUAGAUCUGAGGCAACAUGAUUGUGUUGAGAUUUCUAUCUUAUUUCCAUGGUUUCUCUGUUUGUGUUGAGAUUUCAAGUCUCUUGGACUAAGGGAAAAAACCCAUCUCUAUUUUUCUUCUUUCCUUUUCUUUUCUUUAUGUUUUUUCAUGUUUUAUGGAUUGGGAUUCCAAGUCUAUUUGACUGAGAAUUGAAGACUCUUUCUGGGUUUUCUUGGGUUUUA